UAAAUGAAUUUGCAGCUUUUGAACUGUCCUAUUAUCAGUGGCAAGUGGGCACGGCGUGGCACUAAGACGAGGGCCAAAGCAGAGACACGGGCAUCUGGCUGCCAGUGUGUCUGAGGCCAGUUUGAGGAGCGGUGGGGUGCGCUCUGGCUCAUGGCGUGCCCGACUAGUGGUUAGGAGUGUUCGUGUCUUCCCGCCAACUCGGCUUUUUCCCGCCAGCUUCUUCGUCCGCGUCACCGACAGGUAAGAUGCGCGAUUUCUCUGUUUGGUUGGCUUUAACUUCAAUUUGUUGGUAUUAUUUCUUACUGUUGUCCAUACAUUUUACCAUAGAAAUUUUAUUUUAAGUAUUAUAUGUUAGAACUUACAGAAGGGAGGGAAUAGGAGAGUUGUGUAU